rnacentral:rRNA from 1 species
AACUAUAACGGUCCUAAGGUAGCGAAAUUCCUUGUCAGGUAAGUUCUGACCCGCACGAAUGGCGUAACGACUUGGGCGCUGUCUCAACAGCCCACCCGGCGAAAUUGUUGUACUGGUGAAGAAGCCAGUUACCCGCAACUAGACGGAAAGACCCCAUGGAGCUUUACUGUAGCUUAAUACUGGAAAUCGGUAAAUCAUGUACAGGAUAGGUGGGAGACUUGGAAGCCAGGGCGUCAGCUUUGGUGGAGUCACCCUUGGGAUACCACCCUUGAUUUGCUGGUUUUCUAACCUGCGGCCGUGAAUCCGGUCGGGGGACACUGUUAGGUGGGCAGUUUGACUGGGGCGGUCGCCUCCAAAAAGGUAACGGAGGCGCUCAAAGGUUCGUUCAGCACGGACGGAAAUCGUGCAGUGAGUGUAAACGCAUAAACGAGCCUAACUGCGAGAAUGACGGUUCGAGCAGUAACGAAAGUUGGAGUUAGUGAUCCGGCGGUAUGUGAGUGGAAAUGCCGUCGCUCAACGGAUAAAAGCUACCCUGGGGAUAACAGGCUGAUCUCCCCCAAGAGUCCACAUCGACGGGGAGGUUUGGCACCUCGAUGUCGGCUCAUCACAUCCUGGGGCUGAAUUCGGUCCCAAGGGUUCGGCUGUUCGCCGAUUAAAGUGGCACGCGAGCUGGGUUCAGAACGUCGUGAGACAGUUCGGUCCCUAUCUGUUGUGGGCGCAGGAAAUUUGAGGAGACCUGACACUAGUACGAGAGGACCGUGUUGGACAGACCGCUGGUUUAUCAGUUGUUCCGCCAGGGGCAUAGCUGAGUAUCUAAGUCUGGAAAGGAUAAGUGCUGAAAGCAUCUAAGUACGAAGCCAACUUCAAGAUGAGAUUUCCCUAAAGGGUCGUUGCAGACGACGACGUAGAUAGGUUGCAGAUGUAAAGGCGGUAACGUCAAAGUCGAGCAAUACUAAUCACCCGAGACUUUCCGCUG